GCGGACGGCUCAGUAACACGUCGGUAACCUACCCUCGGGAGGGGGAUAACCCCGGGAAACUGGGGCUAAUCCCCCAUAGGCCUGAGGUACUGGAAGGUCCUCAGGCCGAAAGGGGCUCUGCCCGCCCGAGGAUGGGCCGGCGGCCGAUUAGGUAGUUGGUGGGGUAACGGCCCACCAAGCCGAAGAUCGGUACGGGCCAUGAGAGUGGGAGCCCGGAGAUGGACACUGAGACACGGGUCCAGGCCCUACGGGGCGCAGCAGGCGCGAAACCUCCGCAAUGCGGGCAACCGCGACGGGGGGACCCCCAGUGCCGUGGCACAGCCACGGCUUUUCCGGAGUGUAAAAAGCUCCGGGAAUAAGGGCUGGGCAAGGCCGGUGGCAGCCGCCGCGGUAAUACCGGCGGCCCGAGUGGUGGUCGCUAUUAUUGGGCCUAAAGCGUCCGUAGCCGGGCCCGUAAGUCCCUGGCGAAAUCCCACGGCUCAACCGUGGGGCUUGCUGGGGAUACUGCGGGCCUUGGGACCGGGAGAGGCCGGGGGUACCCCUGGGGUAGGGGUGAAAUCCUAUAAUCCCAGGGGGACCGCCAGUGGCGAAGGCGCCCGGCUGGAACGGGUCCGACGGUGAGGGACGAAGGCCAGGGGAGCAAACCGGAUUAGAUACCCGGGUAGUCCUGGCUGUAAAGGAUGCGGGCUAGGUGUCGGGCGAGCUUCGAGCUCGCCCGGUGCCGAAGGGAAGCCGUUAAGCCCGCCGCCUGGGGAGUACGGCCGCAAGGCUGAAACUUAAAGGAAUUGGCGGGGGAGCACUACAAGGGGUGGAGCGUGCGGUUUAAUUGGAUUCAACGCCGGGAACCUCACCGGGGGCGACGGCAGGAUGAAGGCCAGGCUGAAGGUCUUGCCGGACACGCCGAGAGGAGGUGCAUGGCCGCCGUCAGCUCGUACCGUGAGGCGUCCACUUAAGUGUGGUAACGAGCGAGACCCGCGCCCCCAGUUGCCAGUCCUCCCCGCUGGGGAGGAGGCACUCUGGGGGGACCGCCGGCGAUAAGCCGGAGGAAGGAGCGGGCGACGGUAGGUCAGUAUGCCCCGAAACCCCCGGGCUACACGCGCGCUACAAUGGGCGGGACAAUGGGAUCCGACCCCGAAAGGGGAAGGGAAUCCCCUAAACCCGCCCCCAGUUCGGAUUGCGGGCUGCAACUCGCCCGCAUGAAGCUGGAAUCCCUAGUACCCGCGUGUCAUCAUCGCGCGGCGAAUACGUCCCUGCUCCUUGCACACACCGCCCGUCACUCCACCCGAGCGGGGUCCGGGUGAGGCCUGAUCUCCCUUCGGGGAGGUCGGGUCGAGCCUGGGCUCCGUGAGGGGGGAGAAGUCGUAACAAGGUAGCCGUAGGGGAA
rnacentral:rRNA from 1 species